UACGUAGGUGGCAAGCGUUGUCCGGAUUUACUGGGCGUAAAGGGCGCGUAGGCGGAUGGUACAGUCAGACGUGAAAUUCCUGGGCUCAACCUGGGGGCUGCGUUUGAUACGUGCUGUCUGGAGUUCGGAAGAGGGUCGUGGAAUUCCCAGUGUAGAGGUGAAAUUCGUAGAUAUUGGGAAGAACACCGGUGGCGAAGGCGGCGACCUGGUCCGAUACUGACGCUGAGGCGCGAAAGCGUGGGGAGCAAACAGG
rnacentral:rRNA from 1 species